rnacentral:miRNA from 1 species
AGUUUUCCCUUCAAUUCAG